rnacentral:lncRNA from 1 species
CGCUCAGAUUAGUCAAGCCACAUUCAGAUCUGGACAUCCAUUUGUUGGUUGCACUUGGUGUGCUAUGUUAAUGGUUGGACCUAAUCGGAAUUUUCAGUGGAGUUGCCACAUGCCUACUGAAAUGAUGUCUGGGGCAAAACUUAUUGCUAGAAGUUGUUUAGAGAAACAAUUGAUUAUGAACCUAUCUAUAGAUGCACUAAGGUUGGUCAAGCCACACUCGAACCC